rnacentral:misc_RNA from 1 species
CGGUCCCUCCUCCCUUCCGGAGGCGGCGUCGGGUCGUCGGGCGUCCUCUCGGGCAGCGUUGGGACGACGCAUGAGUGGCAAUCAGGAUACGUUCCCGCCGCAGGCUCCGUGCUUCGGGCACCGAACUGCAUCGGUCCUAUCCGUUUCAUUUGAUCGCCCGCGCCGAGUGUCGUUCGCGGGCGAUGGUGUGGGUUCCUGCGCUAGUUACCCGAUCGCGGUACACGGAUACGUUGUCGUCCAUGUCUCGGUUCCCUUGUCUCCCCUACGCGUCCUCUGCGUUGGGUGGUACCGUGCGGGCAUCGCGCUCCCGGCCGGUCGGUCGCCCAUCCCCUGGGCGUUCCCGUCCGCGCCGGUGCGGCGAUGCCGUCCGCGUGCUCUCGGUUACGGUGAUUCCCCCUGUUAUCGCGCGGUCGCUCGUUGGCCGCGCGAUCUCUACGUGUCGAAGCUUUGCUUCCGCUCGGGUGACCCUCGUGCCUUCCUCGGAGCUCGCGGGGCCUCUCGGUUCCGCGCUCGUCCUUGGGAUGCGUCGAGGUCUAAAGGUG